GGACUUACUCUUCGGAGUGAGAGCGUACACAGGUGCUGCAUGGCUGUCGUCAGCUCGUGUCGUGAGAUGUGGUUAAGUCCCGCAACGAGCGCAACCCUGCAUUCAGUUGCCAUCGGUAAGGCCGGGCACUCUGGAUGGACUGCCGGCGACAAGCCGGAGGAAGGUGGGGACGACGUCAAGUCAUCAUGGCCCUUAUGUCCAGGGCGACACACGUGCUACAAUGGCCGGCACAACGGGAAGCGAAGGGGCGACCCUGAGCGGAUCCCACAAAAGCCGGUCCCAGUUCGGAUUGCAGUCUGCAACUCGACUGCAUGAAGUUGGAAUCGCUAGUAAUCGUGGAUCAGCCAAGCCGCGGUGAAUACGUUCCCGGGCCUU
rnacentral:rRNA from 1 species